rnacentral:rRNA from 1 species
UACAGAGGUCUCAAGCGUUGUUCGGAUUCAUUGGGCGUAAAGGGUGCGUAGGCGGUUUGUCACGUCGGAUGUGAAACCCUGAGGCUCAACCUCAGGCCUGCAUUCGAUACGGGCAGACUAGAAUUCGGCAGGGGAGACUGGAAUUCCUGGUGUAGCGGUGAAAUGCGCAGAUAUCAGGAGGAACACCGGUGGCGAAGGCGGGUCUCUGGGCCGAUAUUGACGCUGAGGAGCGAAAGCGUGGGGAGCAAACAGG